rnacentral:tRNA from 2 species
GCUAGCGUAGCUUAAAACAAAGCAUAGCACUGAAGAUGCUAAGAUGAGUCCUAAAAAACUCCGCAUGCA